CACGUAGGGGACGAGCGUUGUCCGGAAUCAUUGGGCGUAAAGCGCGCGUAGGCGGCCCGGAAAGUCGGAUGUGAAAUCCCGGGGCUCAACCCCGGGCCUGCAUCCGAUACUCCCGGGCUGGAGGCAGGUAGGGGAGAUCGGAAUUCCUGGUGUAGCGGUGAAAUGCGCAGAUAUCAGGAGGAACACCGGUGGCGAAGGCGGGACUCUGGGCCGAUACUGACGCUGAGGAGCGAAAGCGUGGGGAGCGAACAGG
rnacentral:rRNA from 1 species